GUGCAUGGCUGUCGUCAGCUCGUGUCGUGAGAUGUUGGGUUAAGUCCCGCAACGAGCGCAACCCUCGUGUUUAGUUGCAUCAUUAAGUUGGGCACUCUAAACAGACUGCCGGUGACAAACCGGAGGAAGGUGGGGAUGACGUCAAGUCAGCAUGCCCCUUACGUCCUGGGCUACACACGUACUACAAUGGUAGGGACAGAGGGCAGCCAACCCGCGAGGGCGAGCUAAUCCCGUAAACCCUGCCUCAGUUCAGAUUGCAGGCUGCAACUCGCCUGCAUGAAGGCGGAAUCGCUAGUAAUCGCAGGUCAGCAUACUGCGGUGAAUCCGUCCCGGGCCUGUACACACCGCCCUCACA
rnacentral:misc_RNA from 1 species